rnacentral:rRNA from 1 species
CGAUAGCCCGGCGAAAGUCGGAUUAAUACCCUAUGUUGUAUAUUAGAGGACGAUCUGAAGUUUUAGUAACCUAAAAGGUACGUUUAUCGCGUAAGGGAGUGGGGAUGCGUCUGAUUAGGUGGUAGGCGGGGUAACGGCCCACCUAGCCGACGAUCAGUAGGGGUUCUGAGAGGAAGGUCCCCCACAUUGGUACUGAGACACGGACCAAACUCCUACGGGAGGCAGCAGUGAGGAAUAUUGGUCAAUGGGCGAGAGCCUGAACCAGCCAAGUAGCGUGCAAGGAUGACGGCCCUAUGGGUUGUAAACUGCUUUUAUAUAGGGAUAAAGUGCACUACGUGUAGUGUUUUGUAGGUACUAUAUGAAUAAGGACCGGCUAAUUCCGUGCCAGCCGCUGC